AUACUCACCUUGCUCUUGGGGGACUGAGGAGAGGGAUGAAUCACAAUGAACCUGAACUUGCCCCUUCUGGCAACAGGAGAGGAGUCAGUCUGGAGGGCACAGGGCAAGGAAGAUGCUCCUUGCCAAAGUGAAGUCCCUGGGUUAGAGGGCCCUCCUCACAGGAUCUUCUCUGGGCCCCACCUUGAGGGCCCAGAGGGCUGGAAAGUGGUGAGCACCAUCGAGGGAGAGGCCAGGUAUGCUCUGGGGUCAUACCAAUUUACCGGUUCAGGGGUCAGAACCAGAAGGGCUUUCCCAUGAUCGUCGCCAGAACUUCCCUGCUGUGCAAGUUACCAAUAAUGGAAAAAGAAGGCACCUGGGGCUGAUUCCAAAAUUCCAACCUGUGUCUUCUCGGUACCCUGACCCAAGGAAAUACAGUUUCUUCCCAAGAAGGCAGGAGCAGAAAACAUCCCAAGACCAGUGGGGCUUUUCUCCAGAUGGGGAUGUGUGCCUCUCCCCGAACAUCGAGCUGGGGUCCCUGACCCCAGCAGGGCAGGGCUCCAGGAGAAAUCUGGCUGUCCACUACUUUCCUGACUUCACACAGCAGGUCCAACAAAAGCAGGAGAAUCUGAAGCCCAAGGUCUUAUCAUUCUGGGGACAGGUCAACAAUUUCCAGGGUGGAAACCCAGCCCAUGAUUUCCCAAGGACAAAGACCUGGGCCACUAGUGAGAGAGAGGGUCCCCAGUGGAGCGUAGGCUGGGGAGCAAAGGACUCCCCGAGCCCAGUCCUGGGAGAGUUACUCCCCAACAGGCCUAACGUCUUGCGGGAACCAACAGAGAAGGCCAGCAGAAACCUUCUACAACAGUCGACCUCCGCGUUUCCCUCCUUAAGACCUAGCUCCUCAGUCUGCCGCUAUUACCCACCUUGCUGUUCUAUUUGCUCUGCUUCUCCAGAAGUCUGAAGUUCCAGUCACUGUAUCCUCAGGAAUUGCCUUCUCCAGGGACCUUGUGAAGACUUUGCUGCAGUACAAGCUCUCAAUGAGGUCCCUAAAUGCCAAUGCUAAUACAUCCACUAUGGCUAAGAAUUCCAAAGUCUUCAAGAAUAGAAAAUACAGAGGCAGGAGGAGAAGCAAGGGGCUUAGCUAAUGCCUACAAGAGGAGUAAUUCAGGACAUGUGGCCAAAAAACAGGCAAACGGUGAAACUUAAACCAGCUCUUAUCAGCAGCUGCUCGGAUGACACAUCGGGGCCCCAGAAACGGUUCCACCCAUUUCGGGUGCGCUUUGCAGACGAAAGCCCCAAGGACAUGGCAUUGCGAUACUGGGAGAGGAACUAUGACGUUCAGAGGAGCCUCCUCAAGAGCCCAGUACCCUAUAAGUCUCCAGAAGUUAUUCCAGGGAAAUUGGGGAUUUGGAUGGAGAAAAUCCCAAGGAAUGGACUUCAGCAGACGAACCUGUGGCGAGAUGAAUUCAUUCGUCCUGGGAGAAUGGAUAACAUACCCAUGUCAUUGCAAGAACUGCCUACUGAUAACCUAAAGAAGAGUCCCACCUACAGCUCUCUGCACACCAGCCCAUUGGCCAUUCUUGACUUCUCUGGUACCAGGACAUUCCAGGACCAGGGCACAGAUCCCCUUAAGAAGAACCCCAUCUACAACUCUCUGCACACCAGCACCUCAAAUAAUAUUGAUUUUUCUGGCACCAGGUCAUUCCAAGACCUUCCCGCCGAUUCCCCUAAGAAGAGUCCUACGUUCGGCAAUCUAUACAACAGUACACUGGCUAACAUUGACUUCUCUAAUUCUAGGCCGUUCCAGGAUCUCUGUAUCGAUCCUGCUAAACAUACCUCUUUGUACACCACCCCAGUAAUCAACACUGAUAGGCCACGAAGCCGGACCCUCAACACUGGAGUCUCCUCAUUGAAUGAGAACUCUCCUUCCUUGUGGGCUCCUAGAAUGGAUACUUUUGUACCUCACUUGAUGUCAUCUAAUCGGAAGGGAGGACAGACAGGACCUUACCAGUUUUUUCCUCCACUCACCCCACUUCGGACUCAAAGCACCAACCAAGGCAGCUCUGAGUCUCCCCGAUAGCCAGCUAGCCAGAAUGGCUCCUGAAGAACGAGACAAUAUGAAGAACAACGUGGCAAAUCCAGGGACACAGGGGUGGAGAGAAGAAAGGGACAAUUUCAGCAACUCCCUCUGCCCCCUUUCCCCUUACACUCUCUCUCUCCCCCCAAAUAAAAUUAACUAAAAACAGACACACAACCAACCAAUAGCUCAUAGGCUAUGAAGCCUUUCCAGAAACCAAGAGCCAAAUGUCUUCACUGAAGACAUAUUUCAACUCCAUGGAAGGCCUUCUCCCCUCUGACUUUGCUCAGGGUCAUAUGGUUUAAGAGUCCACUGAGGAAGAACUCUCCAACUCUCCAGCCUGUCGCCCUCCCUGAGCUAACAAGCCAGCCCUAACAUCAAUUAUAGCUCACAUACCUGUAAUAAUUUAGGGUUUACAAAGCACUUUCCCCACAAAUAAAAUAGUGGAAAGGGCAUUGGAUUUGGAGUCUGAAUUCUGGCUGAACUCCUUGAUGCUUGUAUGACCUUAGACA
ensembl:lncRNA